UAGGGAAUCUUCGGCAAUGGACGAAAGUCUGACCGAGCAACGCCGCGUGAGUGAAGAAGGUUUUCGGAUCGUAAAACUCUGUUGUUAGAGAAGAACAAGGACGUUAGUAACUGAACGUCCCCUGACGGUAUCUAACCAGAAAGCCACGGCUAACUACGUGCCAGCAGCCGCGGUAAUACGUAGGUGGCAAGCGUUGUCCGGAUUUAUUGGGCGUAAAGCGAGCGCAGGCGGUUUCUUAAGUCUGAUGUGAAAGCCCCCGGCUCAACCGGGGAGGGUCAUUGGAAACUGGGAGACUUGAGUGCAGAAGAGGAGAGUGGAAUUCCAUUUGUGGCGGUGAAAUGCGUAGAUAUAUGGCGGAACACCAGUAGCGAAGGCGGCUCUCUGGUCUGUAACUGACGCUGAGGCUCGAAAGCGUGGGGAGCAAACAGG
rnacentral:rRNA from 1 species